UACGUAGGGUGCAAGCGUUGUCCGGAAUUAUUGGGCGUAAAGAGCUCGUAGGCGGCUUGUCGCGUCGGCUGUGAAAACCUGGGGCUCAACCUCAGGCCUGCAGUCGAUACGGGCGGACUUGAGUACUGCAGGGGAGACUGGAAUUCCUGGUGUAGCGGUGAAAUGCGCAGAUAUCAGGGGGAACACCGGUGGCGAAGGCGGGUCUCUGGGCAGUAACUGACGCUGAGGAGCGAAAGCGUGGGGAGCGAACAGG
rnacentral:rRNA from 1 species